GUGAAUGAUGUCCUCUCCCACACCUCAUCACGGCCUACAGGAAAUGGGGAUCUGUGGAGGUCAAAGUGUGCACGAGUGAGCUAGGCAGCUUCGCCUUGCUAUCAUUGGAGACAACAAACCUAGAAAGAGGAAAAUUCACGUCAGGUCAGUUGGGGCCCUCCAGUCCACAGAAAGCUUACCCAGGCUCAGAGCCCACGGCAGGCAGCAUCCCCAGGCCUUGCACGGCAGAGCAGAAUUUCUCAGCCAGAGACCAGCAAUCCAGGAAGUGCAGGAUCGGCGAGUCCUGCAAGUCCUUUCCAAGGACGCAGCACAGUGGCCACAGGCCUCCCACGAGACCCCACGGUGCAAGGGCCCCAGACCUCCUGGGGGUGCACAUCUGCUGGACACUUAUGCAACGGGGCACUGAGGCCCGCUCCAGUGGAGGAGAAAGCACGUUUACGACUGCCUGCCGGUAAUGACUUCCCUUUGCUUGAAUCAGUUGGUCCAAAAGCUGUGUUAUUUUCCUGGCUCCACUUAUUCAUGUCCUUAAACCGCAGGGGGCUAAGGUUACAGCAGACUUAGUCCUAGCCAGAGAGCAGGCGAGUCUGGACAAGUGAAGAGCAUACAUUUUAACUCAUGUGGGAAUGCAGGAAGAGCAACACCGUGCCUGUCUCCCUUUCUGCUGCUAUUGGAGAAGUGCUUGGGCUGCUUCCUGCUGCUGUGCUCUAUGACACCUUCCUCAGGAGCCAGUGCAGGACACCUUGAAACCAUGAGCAAAUGGAACCUCUUGUCCUUCGUGCUGUGGGUGUUGGCUUGUGUUUCAGGAAUUGUCUGGAAAGGAAUAAGACUGAAGUUGGUGAGGAUAACUGAGAUCUACACAAGGGAGUCGAUGCCAAGAACUACAGGAAUCACAAUGGGAAUGAAAUAAACAAACAUGGAACAGAGUGGACCCUGUGUGGGCAGCUGAGCGAGAUGGACAGUCAUAAGUAACCCUCAGGACUUUGGCUUGAAAUCAUUUAUACAUGGGGCUGGCCUUUGUUCAGACAAGAAAGGAAAAUACAGUAAAGUGCAAAUGAUAUCUGUGUUAGUCUUUGUUGUGUUAAAGUGUCCAACUAUUUUAGUUUUACAAGCAGAAAAUGACUGCAUCUCAUUCAGAGAUUUUCAGAUUGUGGAAAUGUGCUUCACUGCUAUAGAUUCUUGAAUGAAGUAACAGCAAGUGUAUUUUUCUUCAGUGUAACUGUUGUGUUUUAGAUAGAAUGUUCCCCAAAAGCUCAUGUGGUCAGAGGCAGGGAUUUGGAAGGUGACUGAUCGUGGGGCACCUUAGCCAUCAGUGGAUUCAUCCUGAUGGGUUCACAGCUGAAUGUGCUGUUAGCAGUUGGAGCCUGGUGGGAAGAAGUGAGUCACAGGGACGUGACCCCGAGAGGUGUCUCCCUCCCUGGUGCCCCCUCCUCUCUGCCUCCUGAAACGUGGGCUGAGAACCCCUUCCUUUGCCACGCUCCUGUGCCAUUCUGCCUGUGCCUUGGGACCUCCCAUGAACCUCCCAGGGGUUACAGCUUGAGCUAGCGUCACACUUUGGCUUUAUCCACGAGGUGUCUGUCCUGUAAGGAUGCAGAAUUCAAGAGUCAGAGAGGCUUCCUCCUGGAUUUCAGAGGAAGGCUUGGGAGGCCAGGCAGGCUGCCCCUGGGACAGCAGUGAGUGAAGCUGUGAGAGUGAAGUCAAAAGUGCCGUGGAGACCCCAGAGCCUUGGAAGUACUAGGAACAUGGAACAUCCGCUGAGCAACACCACAAACAGUGAGAGGAGCCGCUGGGAGAGAGGCCACGGGGCCACGAUGAGCACUGCCGUGGAGCUGGGCUGCCCCAAGGCCCGUGGCUCUCACAACUGCCCUGAUGCUGGACCUGAAACAACAGGACUUAAUGUUUACUCUGCUAGGUUUCAGAAUUGCUUUGGUCCCAUUCCUUUUCGUCUGCCUGUUUCCCCCUUUUAGAAUGGGAAUG
rnacentral:lncRNA from 1 species